GACGAACGCUGGCGGCGUGCUUAACACAUGCAAGUCGAACGGAAAGGCCCUGCUUUUGUGGGGUGCUCGAGUGGCGAACGGGUGAGUAACACGUGAGUAACCUGCCCUUGACUUUGGGAUAACUUCAGGAAACUGGGGCUAAUACCGGAUAGGAGCUCCUGCUGCAUGGUGGGGGUUGGAAAGUUUCGGCGGUUGGGGAUGGACUCGCGGCUUAUCAGCUUGUUGGUGGGGUAGUGGCUUACCAAGGCUUUGACGGGUAGCCGGCCUGAGAGGGUGACCGGCCACAUGGGUACUGAGAUACGGCCCAGUCUCCUACGGUACGCAGCAGUGGGGAAUAUUGCACAAUGGGCGGAAGCCUGAUGCAGCAACGCCGCGUGCGGGAUGACGGCCUUCGGGUUGUAAACCGCUUUCGCCUGUGACGAAGCGUGAGUGACGGUAAUGGGUAAAGAAGCACCGGCUAACUACGUG
rnacentral:rRNA from 1 species